ACGAUGAUGUCAGCGGAGGAAAGGAAAUGAGUCAUCACUCCCUGGGACCGUGGGGCGGCCGGGAGCGAGUGUGGAGACGCGGCCACAGGAACCCAGGACAAUGGCGGGAGACUAUUUCCUUCGAUUGAAAGGCCUUCUCUUCACUACGCUGCUGCUCAAACUGUCUGACUUCUACCUGCCCUUUAAAAUCUUCUCCAUGGGUGUGUCAAAGAGUAUAAUCAACAGAGUGAAAAAAGCAACCUAUAGAAUGGGAGAAAAUAUUUUCAAAUCAUAGCUCUGAUAAGGAAUCAAUAUCCACAGUGUAUAAAGAACUACAGCUAGACCAUAGAAAAUCAAUCCUGAUUCAAAAAUGGGCAAAGGACUUGAAUAGGCAUUUCUCCAAAGAAAAUAAACAAGCGGCCAAUAAGCACUUGGGAAGAUGUUCAACAUCACUAAUCUUUAGGGAAACGCAAAUCAAAACCAUAGUGAGGCCCCCACCAUCCUGACUCUCCUUCCUUCCAGAGGAUGUUGCCUUCUGGAUCCACCUCAACCCUACUCAGGGAGCCGCUCAGCUUCCUCAAGGGCCUGGAGUAGAUGGCUUCCAUCUUCUCUUUUGCCACCUGUGGAGGUUUUUAAGAGCAAACAGAAAUUCAAGUGAAUUGUCCUCCUACAGUUACUGACGAAACUAUUACAGCUACUUCUGAUUAUCCAUUCAGGUUAAAUCAGGCAUCAUUUCAGUCACCUCCAGGUAUUAAUGUGUAUGAUAUAAAUUGGAAAGUCAAGUCCUCCUAGGAGAUGACUGUGCUUCUGCACAAUUCCAUUACAUUUGCAGUCUCUGUCUUCCUGUACUGCAUUGCUGUCGUGCUUUAUGUUGGUUACAGGAACCUAUAUCAGGGUAGUCAUAAACUUCCCAUGAUUGGCUUUGUCAUUACUCUUGUUGCCAUCUUUUGCGAUUGGUGAGCACUUCAAAAGCUCGCUUGGGCAAAAGCUCUUGCAGAUAUUAAAAUAACUACUGGUCAAAAUAUUGUUCAGGAACUUCUGCUUGUAAGAAAUCAUAAUAAUGUGUUAUUUUGGCUCUGUGACCAGCAUGGGAUUCCUAAAUGUAUCUGUGAUCUUUGUCUUUCUGAAUAUGAUACUUUGGAGGGGAAAUGCUUGGCGUGUGUACAAGUAUGAGGAGACCAACUUACACAACCCAUCAAAUACUUAUGCUCCUCAUAGCCAAGGAGGUAUUCCACCUCCUGCUGGAAUGUAAUUAAAGGGAGAAACACACUGUAUGAAAUAUAUGUCUAUAUCAUGACUUGUUGCCAACAUCUUGAGGCACAUUAUUUGUUUCCAAUAAAAGUAAUGUUUUUUUUUUUAAGCCACACAAUGAGAUAUCACCUCACACCCAUCAGAAUGGCUACUGUAAAACAAAAACAGAAAAUAACAAGUGUGGACAAGAAUGUGAAGAAAGUGAAGCCCUUGUGCAGUUGGAGGGAAUGUAAAAUGUUCCAGCCACUGUGGAAAACAGUGUCUUCAUCUGUUUCCUAUUGCUAUAACUGAACACCAGAGACUGGGUAAAUUAUAAAGAAAAGAAUUUAUUUCUUACAAUUCUAGAGGCUGGGAAGUCCUAGGUCAAGGGACUGCAUCUGCUUGGCCUCUGGGGAGGGCCUCAUGUCAUAACAUGUCAGAAGGCAUCACGUGGGAAAGGGGUGCACUGAGAGCCAAACUGCCUUUAAUAACAAACCCAGGCUGGGCACAGCGGCUCAUGCCUGUAAUCCCAGCACUUUGGGGGAGCAGGGGGUCAAGGCUUGCAGAUCACUUGAGGCCAGGAGUUCAAGACCAGCCUGGCCAACAUGGUGAAACCUUGUCUCUACUAAAAAUACAAAAAUUAGCCAGGGAUGGUGGCAGGUGCCUGUAAUCUCAGCUACUUGGGAGGCUGAGGAAGGAGGAUGGCUUGAACCCUGGAGGCAGAGACUGCAGUGAGCCGAGAUUGUGCCACUGCAUUCCAGCCUGGGUGACAGAGUGAGAUUCUGUCUCAAAAAAUAUAAUAUAAUAUAAUAUAAUAUGGCACAAAGAAUACUAAAUAGACCUCUGUACUUGCCCACACAGGUUUAACAAAUGUCAACAUUUUGCCACAUUUGCUUUCUAUUUCUUUUUUCGAAAAAACAAAACAAAAAAACCCCCAAAACUGAUAAAUCUAAAGCCCUCCCAUUUUCCCUUGUAUAGAUAACCAGUGUCUCAAGUUAGUGUAGAUCCUUCUUGACCAUGUAUAUAUACACAUACAUACAUACACAUUUACUACAGAGGUAUAUAUCAAUGUAUACAAUACCAUAUCGAUAAUAUGUAUAUUUCAUACGUAUAUAAAAUAUGGGGGCCCAGGAAGCGAUCCUCUUGCCUCAGCCUCCAAAUUAGCUGAGAUUACAGGUCUAAGCCACCACGCCUGGCUAAUUUUUAUAUUUUUAGUAGAGAUGGAGUUUCACCAUGUUGGCCAGGCUAGUCUCGAAUUCCUGGUCUCAAGUGAUCCACGCACCUCAGCUUCCUAAAGUGUUGGGAUUACAUACACAAAUAUAACACAUACAUUAACAAUAUAUGUACAUAUAUACUAUCAUACUGUGUAAAUCUCUUUGAAAUUUGCUUUUUCACUCAUUUUUGAGAUUUACCCGUGUUAUUACAUUGUAGAUCUGAUUCGUUAAUUUUAAAUGCUCCAUAGUUUCCCAUUGUUUGAAUAAACCUGUUUAUUUAUUUGUUCCUUUCCUAAUGGACUGUUGGUUGUUCCCAUUUUCGUUAUUACACACAGCACUGCAGUGAAAAUUCUUGUAUCGAUGUGUGGGUGUUUUUUCCUUUUGAGACAGGGUAUUGCUCUGCCACCCAGGCUGGAGUGCAUUGGCACAAUCACAGCUCACUGAAGCCUCAACUUCCUAGGUUCAAGCAAUCCUCCCACCUCAGCCUCCCAAGUAGCUGAGACUACAGGCGCAUGCCACCACACCCAGCUAAAUUUUAAAUUUUUUGUAGACAGGGGUCUUGCCAUGUUGACCAGGAGGAUGGUUUCAAAACUCCUGGGCUCAAGUGAUCCACCCGCCUCAGCCUCCCAAAUUGCUGGGAUUACAGGCAUGAGUCACCGCGCCCGGCCUGUUUUGCGAGGCAUAUGGUUGCUAGAUCACAGUGCAUGCACAUCUUCGGCUUUAACUAGCUAUCGCCAAAUUCUCCAAAGUUGAUCUGAAACCAGUGGAGCGUGUCAGCACUGCCCCUAGCAUGCGCACACCAGGCGGGGGUGUGACAGCCCUCGGGCUAGGCCCCAACCCCACUUCGAGAUCCGUGCGGGGGCCGGGAGCUAGCAGAGGCCAAGCAAUGGGAACAGGCACCUCCAAGCCUGCAAGGACAAGGCGAG
rnacentral:lncRNA from 1 species